rnacentral:misc_RNA from 1 species
AAAUAUAGAUAUACAGACUUAAAUGUUUUGGAAGAAGAAAUAGUUAACAUUGAUGGUAGUAUAUUAGCGUUGGGGGCUGGAAGAGUCUGUUCGGCUUUGACGUUUCUUCCUGUAUCUCCAAGCAACUUGUAUUUGCCUUGCUGCCAGCCCUCGCCAAUAUGGAGAUUCAUACCUUAGGGCACCUUGGACACGUGGGCUCCUCAAGAAUCUUGCGAAAAGAUUAGUGACUUCUUCAAGAUCUGAAGCUCGUAAUAUAAAUGCUUCAACAUUUGUAAGGCACCUGACUAGUCUGUUGCUCAGCAAUCUGUGUCCUGGAAUUCUGACCUUUUUCCCAUCUCUGCUUAUAGAAGAAUGCUCAAGGCACCAUGUGAGGAGUUCUUCCCCACAGGCAUCCCCUUCAGACAAGGAGGCCACAUUUCCAUCUUCUCCAAUGCUUUCCAUCUUACCUCGAAUUAUGAAAACCAUCUUGUCAACUAGACCACCACGGUAUAAAACUUUGCUUCCUGCUAUGUAUGUUUUCUGUCUCAACCUCUCACAGAUGGCAUCUAUAAUAGGUUCAUCUAGAAGUGCAAAUAUUCGAACCUUUUUGAUGAAUUUAAAAAGAUGUCUCCUUAUAUCUCUUUGAAGAUCUUCAGGAAGAUUCUCUAGUAGCAUUUCUUCAUUGACCCCUCGGGUAGCUGCCCAAUUAUAUCUCUCCG